AACAUCACAUAUUUUGGAGUAAUCUUUGUUUAAUUUGAAAUUAAGGAAAUAUCCCCCCUGUGCCAAUGUGUUUGAGGCUAUUUCCCACUGUCUCUUCUCUUAGGUUUAGUGUAUCUGGUUUUAUGUGGAGGUCUUUGAUCCAUUUGGAUUUGAGCUUUGUACAGGGAGAUAAAUAUGGAUCAAUUUGCAGACAGCCAGUAAGACUAGCACUAUUUGAAAUCCAUUCCAUAGCUGCACACCAAACCCAGAAACAAUUGCUGAUGCCAUAUUGUGCUUGCAAACAGGAGGGUGGCAUGGCUCUCAUCUGAGAAACUCUACCAGAUACUGACUGAGAGAAAUACAGACUCUUACACUCAACCACUGGACUGAAGUCAGGGACCCACAUGGAAGAGUUAGGGAAAGAACGGAAGAAGCUGAGGGGAAUGGCCACCCCAUAGGAAGAACAACAAUGGUGUCAUCUAACCCAGAACCCUCAGAGCUCCUAGAGACUAAUGAAACAACCAAGGAGUAUACAUGGGCUGCUUUAGGGCACCAGCACAUAUGUAGCAGAGGGCUGCCUUAUCUGGCACAGUGGGAAAAGAUAGGCUUAAUUCUGUGGAAACCUGAUGCCCCUGUAAAGAGGGAUGCUGGUGGCAAUGGACAGGUGGGGUGGCACCAUAUCUGAGGCAGGGGAAAGGGGGUAUGGGGUGAAGAACUUGGAGGCAGAGACCAAGAAGGGGGCAACUUUUGGAAUGUAAAUAAAAUAAUUUUUAAAAAUAAAAUUCCUAUUUUAGAAAUGAUGAAUUUAAUAACAUAUGAUGUUUUAGCAAUACUAUCCAGCCAAUAUCUCUUUCGAGUACCCUACACUGUCAUUUUGAACUGGAAUUUCAUAGUCAUUAAGUGGCGUUUCUAUGUCUCCCUGUCUUAGGCCCUAGCAACUACCACUCUGCUUACAAUUUCUAACAUGUCAAAUUAUUUAAGCCAACUUUUGUUAUUAAAUACAAAUAAUAGGAAGCACCAAUUUAAAAUGUUCUCUGUUCUAUAUACAGUACUUAUUUUCAUCCUUACACUUAUCUCAGGAAAAGACUAAAGCAGUGAGGUUAAGAAGCUAAUACGAGAGCACACACGGGUUAUAACGCAGGGGAAAUUUAUAUCAUUUAGCCCAUGAUAUUGUCAGUUGGAAGUCUUCUAUCACCAUAACAGACAUGGCGACAACUAUACUUUCAUUGAAAACCUGUGUGAUUUUAGAAUUUGAUUAAUGUUAAAACAUAGCACAAACACGGAACAAUGAAACAAUACAUGUCAAUUUUAUACAUAGGGCAAACCUGUUUCCUGACAUCACAAAGAAAUGUAGCUGGCUAGAAAUAGUUAAAGAAGAAUAAAAUGCCAGAAAGUGAACACCCCAACCAAACUCAAAUUCAAAAUAAAAUAUUAUUUCAUGUUUUAUUUUUUACCCAAGAUAUUCAUUCCAAAUUUUUGCUGCAUAAAAAUGAAGAAAAAAAUGUGUUUCAACUUAAAUACAUUUUGCCUUAAGGAGUUUCAGACAGUUUGAACUUGAAAUGCAGCCUGUGAAUGAAUAUUUAAUUUUACUUUCCUUAUAAGUGAAGUUGAAUCACUUUUGCAAGGCUGAGGGUGACAGUUUCAAAUUUCAGCUCAGGCAGGCAAUCAACAGAGAAUAAUAUUACAGCAGGGGGAAAAGUUGGUGAUUCAGUAAUGACAUUUUAAUGUUACAGAGCAGAGUAUUGGUCUAGAGAUUUGCCAUCCCUUGUGAUGGCUUUCUGUUGACUUAACAAUCAAUACCAUCAUAAUAAUAAAACUAUGCAAGUCUCUAGCUAUAGGCAAUGCCUAAGAAUGAGGACAUGUCCGUCAUUUGUUACAGCCUUCCAGGUUUUCCUACACAACAAAGUAUUUUCGAUGCAUUUAAUAUGGUGUUUGAACGCAAGGCACAGACAUUUAAAGAUAUUGAAAAAGUAUUUCUUCCUCUCGGCUAUUAUUUAUUAAAGUAAAGAUGGUUUUACUGAACAGGCUUUUAAUGUUAGACUCUAGAACCAUUUCACAUUUUUAUUUUAAAGUCGAAUAGCUCCAAAUGCCACAGGAGGUAUCUUAUCAUCAUUAAGCAUUUAUUAUGCCUUUUCAUUGUGUGGCGCCAUCAUGUUAGACUUGGGAUUUUAGCAGACAUGGUCUCUGUCCAUUAGAACAGCUUGGCCUAUAACCUGAUCAGUGACCACAAAUUGGACCUUGGCUUGUAUACUGUCUUUACUUACUGAGUUACAGUGUAAUGACUAUAAAGGUCUGAUCUUUGCUGUUAAUGAUGUUUAUGAAUUGAUCUUGCUUAUGAUCAUAAGCAGUUUCUCAUUUCUGACAGGCUUUACUGUUUGUAGGGAACCUAAAACCGAACUCUUCUUAAGUUAAUCUUACAGGGUGGCAGGAAAAAGUGAGAAAUAGAAAUAGUCUUCAGAAUUUUUACAGUUGGAAUUGAGAAAGUUUUCUCAUGAAAGAUUUUCUAGGAUUGUUUUGUAUCAUAAUUUAAUGUUCAAUACAAACAAACAUACAGGCUCACCAUAAACAAUGUGAAACCUGGAACCCCUACCCCCUUGCAAAUAACCUUCUAGACAUUAUUUGUUCAACUAGCAAAGGUUUACAUUGGAGGUGCACUUGCUCCAGCUGGAGAAUACAAUGAAGCAUAAAGUCUACCCUCGAGGAAUUCAUAAUCU
rnacentral:lncRNA from 1 species